AAAUUGAAGAGUUUGAUCAUGGCUCAGAUUGAACGCUGGCGGCAGGCCUAACACAUGCAAGUCGAGCGGAAACGAGUUAACUGAACCUUCGGGGAACGUUAACGGCGUCGAGCGGCGGACGGGUGAGUAAUGCCUAGGAAAUUGCCCUGAUGUGGGGGAUAACCAUUGGAAACGAUGGCUAAUACCGCAUAAUGCCUUCGGGCCAAAGAGGGGGACCUUCGGGCCUCUCGCGUCAGGAUAUGCCUAGGUGGGAUUAGCUAGUUGGUGAGGUAAGGGCUCACCAAGGCGACGAUCCCUAGCUGGUCUGAGAGGAUGAUCAGCCACACUGGAACUGAGACACGGUCCAGACUCCUACGGGAGGCAGCAGUGGGGAAUAUUGCACAAUGGGCGCAAGCCUGAUGCAGCCAUGCCGCGUGUAUGAAGAAGGCCUUCGGGUUGUAAAGUACUUUCAGCAGUGAGGAAGGUGGUGUAGUUAAUAACUGCAUCAUUUGACGUUAGCUGCAGAAGAAGCACCGGCUAACUCCGUGCCAGCAGCCGCGGUAAUACGGAGGGUGCGAGCGUUAAUCGGAAUUACUGGGCGUAAAGCGCAUGCAGGUGGUUUGUUAAGUCAGAUGUGAAAGCCCGGGGCUCAACCUCGGAAUUGCAUUUGAAACUGGCAGACUAGAGUACUGUAGAGGGGGGUAGAAUUUCAGGUGUAGCGGUGAAAUGCGUAGAGAUCUGAAGGAAUACCGGUGGCGAAGGCGGCCCCCUGGACAGAUACUGACACUCAGAUGCGAAAGCGUGGGGAGCAAACAGGAUUAGAUACCCUGGUAGUCCACGCCGUAAACGAUGUCUACUUGGAGGUUGUGGCCUUGAGCCGUGGCUUUCGGAGCUAACGCGUUAAGUAGACCGCCUGGGGAGUACGGUCGCAAGAUUAAAACUCAAAUGAAUUGACGGGGGCCCGCACAAGCGGUGGAGCAUGUGGUUUAAUUCGAUGCAACGCGAAGAACCUUACCUACUCUUGACAUCCAGAGAAGCCAGUAGAGAUACAGGUGUGCCUUCGGGAGCUCUGAGACAGGUGCUGCAUGGCUGUCGUCAGCUCGUGUUGUGAAAUGUUGGGUUAAGUCCCGCAACGAGCGCAACCCUUAUCCUUGUUUGCCAGCGAGUAAUGUCGGGAACUCCAGGGAGACUGCCGGUGAUAAACCGGAGGAAGGUGGGGACGACGUCAAGUCAUCAUGGCCCUUACGAGUAGGGCUACACACGUGCUACAAUGGCGCAUACAGAGGGCAGCAAGCUAGCGAUAGUGAGCGAAUCCCAAAAAGUGCGUCGUAGUCCGGAUUGGAGUCUGCAACUCGACUCCAUGAAGUCGGAAUCGCUAGUAAUCGUGGAUCAGAAUGCCACGGUGAAUACGUUCCCGGGCCUUGUACACACCGCCCGUCACACCAUGGGAGUGGGCUGCAAAAGAAGUAGGUAGUUUAACCUUCGGGAGAACGCUUACCACUUUGUGGUUCAUGACUGGGGUGAAGUCGUAACAAGGUAGCCCUAGGGGAACCUGGGGCUGGAUCACCUCCUUAUACGAUGAU
rnacentral:rRNA from 1 species